CGAAGGGGCGUAGCGUUGUUCGGAAUCACUGGGCGUAAAGGGCGCGUAGGCGGCCGAUCAAGUCGGGGGUGAAAGCCUGUGGCUCAACCACAGAAUUGCCUUCGAUACUGUUCGGCUCGAGACCGGAAGAGGUCAGUGGAACUGCGAGUGUAGAGGUGAAAUUCGUAGAUAUUCGCAAGAACACCAGUGGCGAAGGCGGCUGACUGGUCCGGGAUCUGACGCUGAGGCGCGAAAGCGUGGGGGAGCAAACAGGAUU
rnacentral:rRNA from 1 species